rnacentral:rRNA from 1 species
UGGGGAAUUUUGGACAAUGGGGGAACCCUGAUCCAGCCAUCCCGCGUGUGCGAUGAAGGCCUUCGGGUUGUAAAGCACUUUUGGCAGGAAAGAAACGUCGCGGGUUAAUACCCCGCGAAACUGACGGUACCUGCAGAAUAAGCACCGGCUAACUACGUGCCAGCAGCCGCGGUAAUACGUAGGGUGCAAGCGUUAAUCGGAAUUACUGGGCGUAAAGCGUGCGCAGGCGGUUCGGAAAGAAAGAUGUGAAAUCCCAGAGCUUAACUUUGGAACUGCAUUUUUAACUACCGGGCUAGAGUGUGUCAGAGGGAGGUGGAAAUUCCNCGUGUAGCAGUGAAAUGCGUAGAUAUGCGGAGGAACACCGAUGGCGAAGGCAGCCUCCUGGGAUAACACUGACGCUCAUGCACGAAAGCGUGGGGGAGCAAACAGGAUUAGAUACCCUGGUAGUCCACGCCCUAAAACGAAUGUCAACUAGCUGUUGGGGCCUUCGGGCCUUGGUAAGCGCAGCU